CCAAAAGCAAUCAUGCCCAGUGGUUGUUUGGUACCCGGUUGCACCGAAAAGUCGAGGUUGGGACAGAGUGUAAGUUUUCACGGUUUGCCAGUGAAAGACGCUCAGCGUUGCAAACUAUGGCUGCGGGCGAUAAACAACCCCAGAGUUGGAGAAGACACCGGGAAGGAAAUUAUAAAAGGAAAAACGAUAUGCAGUCUCCAUUUCAAACUGGAGGAUUUUGAUGGAAGACUUUUCGGCAAGAUAAGGUCCGCACUCAAACCAACUGCUGUUCCGUGCGUCUUCGCUGUGGGCCCGUGCCCAGAUGACGAACAGGCCGGGGCUUCUAAUGCACCUCCCGCAGCGAAACGCAGUCGCCUACAGGACAACCACGCUUCAACCAAGUGUUUUGCAGGAGAUCCAAGCAGUGGGUCGUGAAGCAGAUUUUUAUUCCACACACCACCCAGUUCAUUGACACACUUGUCACAAGUGUCAUAACCAGAAGACGAAACCCAACGAUUCUAUAUAAGGUUUCAACAUCCUCACUUGCCCUGCCCCAGCCUGCGCUGCCACCUAACAUUGCACCAGUGCCAAAACCACCAAAGGAGGCGGCAGUGGCUGAAUU